rnacentral:SRP_RNA from 1 species
GCUUGGCAUGGUUGUGCAUGCCUGUAAUCCCAGCUACUUGGGAGGCUCAGGCAGGAGAAUCACUUGAACCCAGGAGGCAGAGGUUGCAGUGAGCCAAAAUCAUGCCACUGCACUCUAUCCUGGGUGACAGAGUGAGAUUCUGUCUCCC